rnacentral:rRNA from 1 species
AACGAACGCUGGCGGCAUGCCUAACACAUGCAAGUCGAACGAGACCUUCGGGUCUAGUGGCGCACGGGUGCGUAACGCGUGGGAACCUGCCCUUAGGUUCGGAAUAACUCCCCGAAAGGGGUGCUAAUACCGGAUAAUGUCUUCGGACCAACGAUUUAUCGCCUUUGGUUGGGCCCGCGUUGGAUUAGCUAGUUGGUAGGGUAAAAGCCUAUCAAGGUGACGAUCCAUAGCUGGUCUGAGAGUGUGAACAGCCACACUGGGACUGAGACACGGCCCAGACGCCUACGGAAGGCAGCAGUGGUGAAUAUUGGACAAUGGGCGAAAGGCUGAUCCAGCAAUGCCGCGUGAGUGAUGAAGGCCUUAGGGUUGUAAAGCUCUUUUACCCGGGAUGAUAAUGACCGUACCGGGAGAAUAAGCACCGGCUAACUCCGUG